UACGUAGGUGGCAAGCGAUACUCGGAAUCACUAGGCGUAAAGCGCAGGUAGGAGGUUGGAUAAGUCUCUUGUGAAAGCUCCCGGCUUAACUGGGAGAGGUCAAGGGAAACUGUUCAGCUAGAGUGUGGUAGAGGAAGAUGGAAUUUCCGGUGUAGCGGUGAAAUGCGUAGAUAUCGGAAGGAACAUCAGUGGCGAAAGCGGCUUCCUGGACCAGUACCGACGUUCAGGCACGAAAGCGUGGGGAGCAAACAGG
rnacentral:rRNA from 1 species